AUUACUUUGGCAGAUUAGUGUGAUGAAUUUAGGGUUCAUUAAUGUAAUAAUAAUUACAAGUAAUA
rnacentral:tRNA from 1 species